ACUUCGGUACAUCGGUGACAGGUGGUGCAUGGUUGUCGUCAGCUCGUGUCGCGAGAUGUUGGGUUAAGUCCCGCAACGAGCGCAACCCCUAUUGUUAGUUGCCAUCAUUCAGUUGGGCACUCUAGCGAGACUGCCGGUAAUAAACCGGAGGAAGGUGGGGAUGACGUCAAAUCAUCAUGCCCCUUAUGACCUGGGCUACACACGUGCUACAAUGGUUGGUACAACGAGUUGCGAGUCGGUGACGGCGAGCUAAUCUCUUAAAGCCAAUCUCAGUUCGGAUUGUAGGCUGCAACUCGCCUACAUGAAGUCGGAAUCGCUAGUAAUCGCGGAUCAGCACGCCGCGGUGAAUACGUUCCCGGGCCUU
rnacentral:rRNA from 1 species